rnacentral:rRNA from 1 species
GGUUAAGCGACUAAGCGUACACGGUGGAUGCCCUGGCAGUCAGAGGCGAUGAAGGACGUGCUAAUCUGCGAAAAGCGCCGGCGAGGUGAUAUGAACCUUUGACCCGGCGAUGUCCGAAUGGGGAAACCCAGUGUGWUYCGWCACACUAUCGUUAACUGAAUACAUAGGUUAACGAGGC